GGAGGAGAAAAGGAAGGUGGAGGAGAAGCGGAAAGACCUCGAUGAGGAGAUGAACGCCUUCAAUAGGAAGAAGGUGGCAGCUGAGACGCUCUCCUUAUCUCAGCCCCUCAAGAAAGACAAGGACAAGAAAAAUUAAUUUAUGGGCGCUGCCACACACGACCAUGGAUUUGUCCUCCAUCACCAUAGCAACGACAACACCUGUUUUAUUUUGUUUGUUGUUGUUUGUUUUUGUUUUGACAUUCCAUCUUGACAUUGUGCACAUGGACCAAAGACACUGAGGAUGAUGAUGAUCAUCAUAUUGAUUUAUUUAUUCAGGAUCUUUCAUGCUAUGGUUUGUCUGUUUCUUUGGACACUUUUUAUAUAUAUAUAUGCAUUCUGUUAUUCUAUGUUGUGACUUUUUUGUGUUUUGCCAUCAAACUGUUCACACAGAAACGAGAGGUUCAGCCCUGCAGUGUAACACAGCGGGCGAGUCAUUUGAAACCAUUGAGUGUUUGAAAUGUUGUCCGUGUGUGUGUGUCUGUUAACCUUUUUGUAAUCAAAAAAAUUUAGAUUAAGUACCUUUCACAGUAGAAUAAAUCCCUGUAUCCAAUGAGCCCAAAUAAUACACCUAGAUAGCACUAUGUCAAGCAAUAAACUGAGUACCUGUAUACAGUACAACACUGCAUAUACGUAGGUGCUGACAACUUAGUCUUAAGUCUUAAUAAAAUCUUAUGCAAUAUACUGGUGCUGUUUCAUAUUAACUCACUAAAUGUAUGUGAAUAUUUUCUAGAGCUUACCCAGGUUAAUAUGCAAAAAUGUACUAGUUUUUGAAUAUGAUAUUGUAAGAAGCACAUAUGACGGUGUACAUUGUCCAUAAGUGAUGUAACUUUAUUGUAAACCACGAGUUAUCGCCUUGAUUUGAGUGUUGUGACAGUGGACACACACGCAAACAUGAAGCCAGUAUGUACACACACACACACACACACACACACACACACACACACACACACACACACACACACACACACACACACACACACACUGAGGAUUCAGGAAAACAUGCAAGCCUCAGACAUGGAGAGAAGAGAGCAGCUGUAUUUACUGUCUGUCGUUGAAAAUAAAUGCAAACCCCCAACCUCCCUCCUCCUCCCGAUUUUGAUGUGUCUCCUUGACAUGAUUUGUUUGAUGAUAUCCGUCCAGGAGGGAGAUGAAAGACAGGUGAAGACACGUAUUCCCUCUCACACACACACACUCACACUCACACUCACUCUCUCUCUCAAAAAGACAACACACAGACGCUGUCUGCUUCAACUGUAACCCAAACAGCUGUCAGCUCGAGGAGCACGGUUUCCUGUUUAGCAAUCGCCAACUAAAGGGCUGAGAGAUGUUUGCUCAGUCUGCACACAAUCCUCCCUGCUUUCACCACCGUGCUGCUGAACUCAGCUGUCUGUGUGUGUCUGUGUGUGUGUGUCUGUGUGUGUGGUGUAGGAGUGUAGGAUUGCACGUUUACAGUGUGUUUGCCAGAAGUGGAGAGUAAGAUGUGUGUGGGUAUGGAAAAAGAGAAUUAUGUGGGAUUAAUUGACUUUGUGUGUGUGCGUGUGUAAAGGAGAUGGCCAACAGUGAGCUUGUGAGUGGCGUGUGUAUACAGUAUGUAUGUUAACAUAAACUGCAGCUGGCAGUUGGGGUUAAAAACCACAUGAGUGUAUUUUAGCACUUCCACACUUCCUCAUUCAAGUAGAGAGACCACAGAUCAAAUAGUUAGGAACAUAAACUGGAUAACGUAGGAUCAGUGAAGACGGAGAACCAGUCGGGCGUGACCAACUCCAGCUCCAAAGUGAUGAUGGCCAAGGCCAACGUGGAGCCCUUGAACUGCCAAAGCUGGUGGCAGGCCAUACAGUGCUGCACCUGCCUGGUCCACAGCGC